UACGGAGGGGGCUAGCGUUGUUCGGAAUUACUGGGCGUAAAGCGCGCGUAGGCGGACCUGCAAGUCGGGGGUGAAAGCCCGAGGCUCAACCUCGGAACUGCCUUCGAUACUGCGGGUCUCGAGUCCGGGAGAGGGGAGUGGAAUUCCUAGUGUAGAGGUGAAAUUCGUAGAUAUUAGGAAGAACACCAGUGGCGAAGGCGGCUCACUGGCCCGGUACUGACGCUGAGGCGCGAAAGCGUGGGGAGCAAACAGG
rnacentral:rRNA from 1 species